CCUCCCUACACAAAUCUUAAAACAAACCUCUGCACAUAAACCAUAUUGCACACUUUGACAUUCAACAUAAAAAAUAAAAAUAAAAAAAACUCUAAAAUAUCAGAAAAUCAGCACCUUAUACCCUCAAUUACUGCAUCAGAAAAUAAAGUAGCAAAGCUAUGAGAUCAAUCUAUAUCUAAUGCCAUAGAACAGCCAUAUCAUUUGAGAACAAUGAAAUGAACAGCCAUAUCCAAAU
rnacentral:lncRNA from 1 species